AUAUUAAUUCGAAGAGUGGUUGUUGUUGAAGAAUCUCACGAAUUAUUCUAUAUACAUAACUCGACCCUAUAUUUUAUUUUACAAUUACUUGGUAUUUGUAGUUUCAUCAACAAAUACGAACCGUCGGAUUUAAGAAUUUGUAGACAUGUAUAUGCCACAUGAGUUGACAUAAAUCUUAUUUUGGAGGCGAGUUUGCCAUUUUUGAAACACUCCAAUUCCCCUAAAAAUUAUAAGUUUUAUUUCAAUUUUAAGAAGUAGAAAUACAUUGUUUUUCAAGUCAACUGAAUUUUAUAUGUUUCUCUCAAAAUCCCUCCAUUUAAAUAUGGGCUUAAGCAUAAGGCCCAUCGGUUUUUUCUAAUGGGCCAGCCCAAUUCAAUCUGGGUUAGUCUUAGAAUUGUCUUAGCGCGAAGCUCCAUGUUCAUAAGAUAACUUUGUAUUCACUUGUAAAAAUCGACGCUGCAAAUGAAACGAUUCAAUUCCUCUUCAUUUGUUAAUCAUCAACUUCUGAUUUUUGCACAAAGGAAUUUGUGGAUUUUUCCCAAGCGCCACAGCAGGCAGCAUUCUGACGAGAAACGACAUAUCGCAAUCCACGAGGUAAUUGAACUUCGAUAAGAGGAGGAAAUAGUUUGUUUGAUGCAAUCAAUCCAUUUGGAUUGAUCGAAAGGUCGAUAAGUAUUGGGAAUUUGAAUUUCGGGAAUAUAGCAGAGAAGAAAAUGGUCCUGAAAUGUGUUUGUGUGUAAAGAAGGGAUGGGGUUUUAGCGACUGUCUUUCUAUUUAUUUACAUACUUUCUUCUGAAUGAACAGUGGGAGUAUUCGAUUUUUUUUUUUUUUGGUCAUUUUUUUCAACUGAAUAUUCCAUUCGAAUGAUUUGGCGUCCUCUUUGAUUAGGAUAUUAGCCCACCGGAAAGACGAAAAUCAAAGAGAAAAAGGACAAAAACCAAAAGGAAGAAAAGAAUAAUACCCUUUAAGCAGCUCACUUUAUGCUAUUGAUUGGGUAUCUAUCACUUUUUUAAUCCAAAGGAUAAACCAUUUUUUUUAAUGAGAAGAUGCUUUAUGUGGGGAAAUGUAGAUUAAUUGUUCUGUACUUUGCCAUAGAAAGCGAUUGUUUUAUUACUUUUGCUUGAUUAUCUAUCCAAUAGGGUGAUAUUUUGCUGGUUGAAAAGAAAGUUUAAACAAUGAUGGAUAUUGGUGGAAUCCCUGGUUCUGCGUAAAGGUAAACUGAAGGUUUUUGAUUCUUUCUGUGGGCUUUUCUUUACGUAUUAAACGUUAUUCCUUUUAUGCAUAAAAGCUCUCGCAGAUAACUCAGAGUAGUCAGCAAGUGUCUUCUUUCUCAGAGGAGAACCUUUUGUAUUUAUCUAAUUAUUUGACAUUUGGCAGAAAAAAAAUUGUGAGAUCUACGAAUUUUUUCUUAAACUCCUAGCAUUGAAGCUCUCCUGUGAAAAGACUUGUCCAACAAAUUGACAAACGUCAGUUUCUUUUAUGGUUCUGAUUUUAAAAGAUAAAGACCUUUGGAGACUUCUACUGCUCGGUACUUUCAUUGAUACUGAUAUCAAAGAUUUGGAGAAUGAUGGAGUGAUAUCUUCUCUAAUGGAGCUAAGUGAUUCUGGUAGUUUUCUUUAUAUGUAUAUAUAUAUAGAUAUACCUUGUCAGUGAUAUCAUAUUUUAAAGUAAAGUAUUGAUAUCGUAUUCGUUUUCUUCACGGACUACCUUGAGCCACCUUUGCACUAAAAUCUCUGAAAGAAAGGAAAAGGAAAAGGAAUAAGGCUUGUAUUGGAGAUCUUCAAAAUAGUUUUAUAUUCUUGCUUUUGAAAUUGUUUAAAAAAA